CUGGUUUCUGCAGCAAAUAUACUAAAGUUGGAAUGAUAUAGAGAAGAGUAGCAUGGCCCCUAUGCAAAAAUUUUACAUUUUUUAUCUUUUAUGAGAGAGAUUGUU